CUCUCAAGGCAAGAGGGACUGUGGCGUUGCUCGGGAUUCUGACCCCAGGACUUCUCGCCCCGUCGUCGUUUCUCUUCUGACGCGUCUCCCUUCCCAAGCCCGCGUCCCCUCACUCGCGACCUCGCUUCUCAGGAGGGCCGCGAUGGAGGUCCCGCCCCGACUCUCCCAUGUGCCGCCGCCAUUGUUCCCCUCCGCUCCCGCUACUUUAGCCUCCCGCAGCCUCUCCCAUUGGCGGCCGCGGCAGCUCGCCCCGCUCCUCCCUUCGCUCGCUCCCAGCUCCGCCCGGCAGGGGGCGCGCCGGGCCCAGCGCCACGUCACCGCCCAGCAGCCCUCCCGAUUGGCGGGCGGGGCGGCUAUAAAGGGAGGGCGCAGGCGGCGCCCGGAUCUCUUCCGCCGCCAUUUUAAAUCCAGCUCCAUACAACGCUCCGCCGCCGCUGCUGCCGCGACUCGAUCUGCGCGCCAGCACCUUCCGGCCGACCACUCCGCCGCUAUGGAAGACAUGAACGAGUACAGCAACAUAGAGGAAUUCGCAGAGGGAUCCAAGAUCAACGCGAGCAAGAACCAGCAGGAUGACGGUAAAAUGUUUAUUGGAGGCUUGAGCUGGGAUACAAGCAAGAAAGAUCUAACUGAAUAUUUGUCUCGAUUUGGGGAAGUUGUGGACUGCACGAUUAAAACAGAUCCUGUUACUGGAAGAUCACGAGGAUUUGGAUUUGUGCUUUUCAAGGAUGCUGCUAGUGUUGAUAAGGUUUUGGAACUGAAAGAACACAAACUGGAUGGCAAAUUGAUAGACCCUAAAAGGGCUAAAGCUUUAAAAGGGAAGGAACCCCCAAAAAAGGUUUUCGUGGGUGGAUUGAGCCCAGAUACUUCGGAGGAACAAAUUAAAGAAUAUUUUGGAGCCUUUGGAGAGAUUGAAAAUAUUGAACUUCCUAUGGAUACAAAAACAAAUGAAAGAAGAGGAUUUUGCUUUAUUACAUAUACAGACGAGGAGCCAGUAAAGAAAUUGUUAGAAAGCAGAUACCAUCAAAUUGGUUCUGGGAAGUGUGAAAUCAAAGUUGCACAACCUAAAGAGGUAUAUAGACAGCAACAGCAACAACAAAAGGGAGGAAGAGGUGCUGCAGCUGGUGGGCGAGGUGGUACUAGGGGUCGAGGCCGAGGUCAGGGCCAAAACUGGAACCAAGGAUUUAAUAACUAUUAUGAUCAAGGAUAUGGAAAUUACAAUAGUGCCUAUGGUGGUGAUCAAAACUAUAGUGGCUAUGGCGGCUAUGAUUAUACUGGGUAUAACUAUGGGAACUAUGGAUAUGGACAGGGAUAUGCAGACUACAGUGGCCAACAGAGCACUUACGGCAAGGCAUCCCGAGGGGGUGGCAAUCACCAAAACAAUUACCAGCCGUAUUAAAGGGGACACUGCAGAAAACAGCGGGAACUUCAUUGCAGGCCGUGUGUCACCCUGACCACGUCUAUCUCUGGGGGUCGCACGUUGCGGGCAGAGCGCAAGGCAUACACCAGAAAACGCUGUCCUGUGGAAGAGAUUGCUAAAGUAACCAUCUUGCAGGAGGACAUUGAAGAUUGGUCUUCUGUUGAUCUAAGAUGAUUAUUUUGUAAAAGACUUUCUAGUGUACAAGACACAAUUUGUGUCCAACUGUAUAUAGCCGCCAAUUAGUUCUCUUUGUUUUUACUUUGUCUUUUGCUAUCUGUGUUAUGACUGUGGAUUUGUGUUUAUACAGACUUUAUUUGUAUGAUUACAUGUUAAACCUCAAAUAAAUGCUUCCUUAUGUGAUUGUU